GACGAACGCUGGCGGCGUGCUUAACACAUGCAAGUCGAACGGAAAGGCCCUGCUUUUGUGGGGUGCUCGAGUGGCGAACGGGUGAGUAACACGUGAGUAACCUGCCCUUGACUUUGGGAUAACUUCAGGGAACUGGGGCUCAUACCGGAUAGGAUCUCCUGCUGCAUGGUGGGGGUUGGUAAGUUUCGGCGGUUGGGGAUGGACUCGCGGCUUAUCAGCUUGUUGGUGGGGUAGUGGCUUACCAAGGCUUUGACGGGUAGCCGGCCUGAGAGGGUGACCGGCCACAUGAGGACUGAGGUACGGCCCAGACUGCUACCGGAGGCAGCAGGGGAGAAUAUUGCACAAUGGGCGGAAGCCUGAUGCAGCAACGCCGCGUGCGGGAUGACGGCCUUCGGGUGGUAAACCGCUUUCGCCUGUGACGAAGCGGGAGUGACGGUAAUGGGUAAAGAAGCACCGGCUAACUACGUG
rnacentral:rRNA from 1 species